rnacentral:rRNA from 1 species
UACGUAGGGUGCAAGCGUUGCCCGGAAUUAUUGGGCGUAAAGAGCUCGUAGGCGGUUUGUCGCGUCUGCUGUGAAAAUCCGGGGCUCAACUCCGGACUUGCAGUGGGUACGGGCAGGCUAGAGUGUGGUAGGGGAGACUGGAAUUCCUGGUGUAGCGGUGAAAUGCGCAGAUAUCAGGAGGAACACCGAUGGCGAAGGCAGGUCUCUGGGCCAUAACUGACGCUGAGAAGCGAAAGCAUGGGGAGCGAACAGG